rnacentral:misc_RNA from 1 species
ACUCUAGGGCAUUUAUUUGUUA